ACUUCUAGUCCUCACACUGGCAAAGUGAGCCAUCUUUCCAGCCCGAUGUAACAUUGUUUUACAUCAAACUUACAAGAAUUACUAUGCUGGGUAUAUAGCUCGGUGGAAGAACGCUAGCCUGGCAUAUGUGAGGCCAUAGGUUCAAUCCCCAAUGGUGCAGAAACAAAACCAACAACAACAACAAGCUGACAAACCAACAGCAGCAGCAGCAGCAGCAGCAGCAACCACCACAAACUAGGCAAAGAUUCCAUUUCGAAAAGAAAGAUCUAAAGAAACAGUGGACCUGCAGGUUUAAUGGAUUACUGUGUAUUUCAGGUGCCACCCUGGUGUCUUUGUUGGCCUGCAGUGAUGCUACAUUGUACCCAAUGACAAACCAACGCCAAACUCAGAAGAAGCAAAAGCUUUCCCAGCAAUGAGCAGGCAGAAACUUCUGGAAAGCAAGAUGUGUGAAGAUGUAUGACAAACAACACAGACUUAAUUGCUUACAGCUUCCCGGAGACACAAUCUCUUCAGUUCCUCCAGCCUCUGGCGCAGCGUCUCCUCCAGAGCUUCCUGCCUGGAUUUCAAGGCAGCCAACAUGUCUUUCUUGGCCGACUGCGAGCUAUCUGAUUCCUGAGAACCUGUUGAUAAACAGCGGGGUUACUAGGCGGCUG
ensembl:antisense Gm13179 predicted gene 13179